GGGGGUCCCUGAUCCGAUCACAUGAUCGAAAAUCGUGCCUGAUCAUGUCAUUUUCAGAGGGUUUGAAUCAGGUUCAUAAAAUGUUUUUAUUUAUAAGUAUUGGCUUAUCUGCUACCAUUUAUAUCGAUAGACAAUAAAUUCCUUUGUAGUAUAGCGAGAGAAAUUUCUCAGCUAUGAGCAGGGUGAGUAUUCUGUUUUCACUUUUCUCCUGACAGUUUAAGUAGGUACACAUUUGUUAAUCUACGUUACGUGAUUAGACUAUUUGCACUGAUCCAACCUGGACCAUGUACAGAAAAAAAUGUUAAAGAGGUCACACUGCACAACGUCCUUCUUCAGCAAUUUUCGGCCAUGUUUGCAUUUUGCAUUUUUUUAUUUAUAGCAACACUAGGGUACUAGUGUACAACCUUUAUAAAAUAUCUUCAUAACAUUUGUGAUAGCUCGACACACAACUAGGUGAAUGACACCUCUAUCAUGGCCUGAGGGGGUCUGUAUCGCUUUUACUGCUUUCACUGAUUAACUUGGAGGAGGGUGGCAGGAAGCCUGCCAUACAAAAAAACUACAAAUAUGCUGACUGUUUUCCGGCAUACGUUACUUCUCCCUUUCCCCAUUGUUUAUAAAGACGAAGUUGAUGCAAACGCUUUUGCGCAAAUUGUGCAAGGAUGGCGGAGCAACAAAAGAGAGUUUUUUUGUCCAAGAAGACAAAAAAAGUAAAAGGGAGGUUACCAGGAUAAAAGGACACUCAAGAAUAAACAUUGGCCUGGAUUUCAUUCUCUGCCGUGACCACUACCAGUACAAUACGGUACAAAAUCAAACGUUUCUUAUUUUCAACAUCGUCAUAUGAUAUUGUGUAGCCACAAUUGGAUUCAUUACCUCAUCACUCUUCAUCCUUCACACAACCGCUGGAAACAAAAAUGUCAUUCAAUCCAACUGCAGCCAAUUGGGACAUCAGGAUUUUAUGAUACUGUGCGCUAGUCUUCAUGGGAAAUGCAGUCUUCCUUAAGGCAAAACACUACCGCUUUUGUCCACCUGUGCCGCUAAAAUCGACCAAAACUGAAAGUUCCCUAGUGUCGCUUUAAGUUCAGCGUUUCCCCUACAUAGGAUUUAUCGUGGCGGGCCGCCACACCAAAAUAAAAGCCACCACGCCUUGCAAAUGCGAUUCUUUUUUUUUUUUUUUUUUUUAAGAUUUAAAGAUCCAUUCUAAUUUUUAAUUAGUAUAAUUUAACAUGACUUCUAAAUGAAUAUAUGAAGCUCAUUUGUACACACGAUUUACCAUAAGUCGUCUGAAAUAGCAUGUAAAAUACAAAUUGUUCCUUUACAUGCUUUAUUUUGAAAAGCGUAUCAUUUCUAUUGAAAGCUUGCGGCUGGUACGUCGGCUCGGCGCAGAAAUGGAAAUCGGGAGACGAAACACAGAAAGGCAUUUGAAGUUAAUGAAUGUACUUCUGGUUUAAAACUGUGAAAAUGACCUUAAUAUACUGACAUUGACGUAACGUUUAAGUUCAUUAUGGCAUGUUUUUGAUACGAAUCGGUCGCGUCCUACUCCUAGCAUAGCAUUUGUUCGGCGCUGACGUCACUCGUUGUUAUUGAUGUACAGUAUUUUGGAAAGAGAAAAGUUCCUGAGGAAUAGGGUCUGCUAACAAAGUGACGAUUAUUGUUUGAUGAUUUAGACCGUCAUGUUCAGAAAUAUUUAAUGAGCGUCAGAGGCUAAGUAAAUAUUUCGGAACGUACCGGAGGGCUCAUGCUCUCAGGUGCUCUUCAUUUGCGAAUGUAUUGGCUCUCAUGUUCAGAGGACUAGAAAUAACCAAAUGGUUAUGGCAAGCGUAGUAUUCUAAUGUUGAGAUAAGGUUUUCAAGAACUGAAUGAGACCAGAUAGCACAUAGAGAGGCAGAUCAGGAUGGCGCAGAGUCCAGGGUAGGAGAAGUAAGCAAAAAAACCAAACAGGAAAUCUAGCUGGACCCAACAUGGACAAAAAUGGCAAAGUUCAAGCUGUGGCUGUACCACAAAAAUCAAGAAUAUGGACCAGGUCAGCAUGAUGGCACCACAGACUGAUGAAUGGGGAGUGCUGCUGACAGCAACCGUCCGCCAUUGCGUUGACAGUUACCAUCUCAACAGUGAACUGUGAGAUUUUUCUUCAAUGACCUGAGUAAAGACAGACUUGAGGAACAGGUGGACCAUCUUGUAGCAUGCCUCACAUUGACUAAUAAAUGGAUCACCUAUUGCCGACCCCCCCCCUUUUUUUUUUUUUUUAAGUCCAGGAAAAUCAAGUGUUCCCAGGCAGGAUGCAAACUUUGCAAAUAGAUCUUUGUUAUGGUUCUUGAAAAAAAUAAAUAAUAAAAUUAAAAAACAAUUUUAAAAAUUCUUAUUUGUCAUGAUACGAAACAAAUUCGCCGCGGCACAACAUGAUGGGGUUGUCCGACUCCGACGCAGUCCACCACCACCACAGCUUCAAAAAAUCCUAGGGGAAACCCUGAAGUUGAUUUAUUUAACUUUUAAAAGCGACCAGAAAUGGAUUGUUCUAACUCUUUAGUGCACGAAUCAUGAUUUUUAUUUUCUCUCUCCUUACAGGGUAUUCAUUUAACUCACUGUUUGUCAUUGACGGCACCAGGUGUCCAAUUCAUUUUGACUGAGAGGGGCGUCUAGUGACGGCAAUGGCAAUAAAAGAUGAGCAGUCACAGCCGGUCCUCCCAGUUUAUAUAAAUUGGAUGUCUUAUCACCAUCAAUGGCAUGCAAUGAGUUCAAUGGAGCCUAUCGAGGAAAAAAAAAAACUUUAUAGUGCUACUUUGGGCUAGAGCCAAUGUGUAUUUUUAUUAUUAUAUGUAUCUUUAUUUUUACGGUAAUUAAUUUGUUUUUAUUAACAUUAUAUCUAUUUAUAAAUUCAUGAUUAUAAAUAUUUGUUAAAAAUCAGUAACAAUCGAUGAUUUUAAAAAUAUGUUCAUAUUCGUAAUUGCUAAUAUUUAAGAUUUUUAAUGUCUUAAAGUAGUCACUUGCCCCAUAAAGGGUUAAAGAUCUUAGGUGGCAACUUUUGAAUGGCUGUAGUGUCCACUGUAGUGACCACUGUCUCUGAAAGGGUUCAGUUUAACUAGGAUUUAAGUAUUUCAAUUGUAGUUUUGAUUAUCUUUUAAGACUAUGUUUCAAGAGCAUUUUUCCAACACUUUACGUUGAAGUAUUGUUAUGGCUUACCAUGACUAGAAGUCGAGCGAUAUGGGAUUUUAAAAGGCCGAUACCAAUAUUAUAAAUAAAAUUCCGCCGAUUGCUAAUGUCUAAAACCAAUUUUGAAAGAUGAUAUUUUAGACCAAUCUACUUUUUUUUUUCAAAAUGAUUAUGACAGGCAAUCGAAACACUCAUUAUAUAAAUGUUUAUAGCGAUGCCUCGUUUUUCACGGCUAAUGUGGACCACUCCCCCAACCCCCCACAAAAAUCGAAAAUCCGCUAAGUAAAAUCCGCUGUUUACAUAUAUGUACAUUUUUAUAAAUGGUUUUUAAGCACUGCAAAUGUGACGAUUAUGAUAUAAAUAAGAUAUAUGUAAAAGAAAACAAUGAUUUGUACAUGUAUACAUGCAUAUAUCGAAACAUUUUUUUAAAUAAAAUUACACUUAGAUUGCAGCGGCGCCUUCCUUGAUGGAUGAUGAUGAUGAUGAAGAUGGCACAAUGCAAAGAUGUCGGAGAGCCUUGUACUGUACUUCAAAAAUCUGCAAAUAACUAAAACUGCAAAUUUCGUAGCGCGAGGGAUCACUGUACUAUAUAAUGUAUUCGAAGUUAAAAUUCUCCUUCUGAUACUUCCUUUUAUAACACUGGCCACUAGGUGGUGCAAAAUAACAAAUGUCGUCACUCAAACAGUGAACAUAACAGUUCUCCUAUUAUAUAGGCUGAUCUUGAAAAAAGUCCAAAUAUCGUCUCAAUAUAUUGGGCGGACAAUAUAUUGGUCAACCUUGAUAAGAAAACCCAUCCAAACAGUGAACUUAACAAUUAUCAUCUUGUAUCGGCCGGUCUUGAAAAAAACUGACAAAUAUCAGUCGACCUUAGUCUUUAACACGAUAGUCAUAAUUUCAAAAUUCCUGUCUACAUAUUUAUUUGUUCUGGAUGUGGGUUUCCAGUGGGCUUCUCUACCACCAGGCCUUGCCGGUUUUCUGGGGGGAAACCCAGGCCAUUUGGGGGCCCUAAGCAAAAUAAUGCAAAGGGGCCCAUAUUUUUGGCCCACCAUUUCGUCACAGUGUACUGUGAAACCCAUACAUGCAAUCCAACCCAUACGUAGGGAUGGGCAAUAUGGCCUUAAACACGUAUCACGAUAAAUUGAGCAGAUUUACCUCGAUGACGAUAAAGUCGCCCAAGCGCACUGUUAUAUAAUUUGAAAAUCUGAAUCAGUGCAUGAAAUACAGAUUAACAGUUUCUUGUUGAUUUAGUUACCAGCAUUCAAUUUGAUAUAUUUAACAAUUGUACAUGCGGUCUAAACAUUAAGUUUAUAAAAAUGUGUUGUAAACAAUAAGAAUUCAAGUAUGAGCAUUUAUAACAGCGUGUAUGGCUUGAACAAUGUACAUUGUCAAAAUCAAUGUGCCUGUGCAAACAUGUCAUUGUAACACAAAUGACUUGCAGCUUGAAUAGUACACUUCAAAAAGACAAUUUAUAGUAAUGGCUGCUGUGACAUAAUUAUUCAAUACAAGUGUUUACUUUAUGGUUUCAGGGUUUUUUUUUUUACCCCCAGUGCAUUUUUUAAUAAAUGUACGCAUACAUGAACCCCAAAACAGGCAGACAGACAGACACACAUUAAAGCUAUAUUGAUCUUCUGCAAAUGAAACACUUAAGAUUUUAUGAUAGCAAUAAUGACACAGAAUUAAGCACAUACAGAAAAAUAGCUGGGGCCAUUUCUCGUUCAUAUUAUAAGUUUCACCGUUGGAUUGUGCUUUAUGCUGAAUGCUUUACCAUCACAAAAGCUAUUAGAGAAAUCACACACAGUCAGAUACAAAAUAAUGCGACACAGUAAUUGCUAGAUGCAGUCCAUGCCCAAUCCACUCCUUAAGUUCAGCCGUUUCGACAAGGUUAGAGCCACUAUCCGACUCCAUCACGUUCAUUUGUAGCGUUAGCCGCUAACGGCCGCUAGCGUUAGCCGCUAGCGUUAGCCGCUAGCGUUAGCCUGUGGCCUGGCUACCAGUAGAAAGCACUGAAAGCACCAUCUCCGGAAAUUGUGAGAACAAGGGAGGGCAGCGGGUGAAAGCCCGUCUGGAUGCCACCAAGAGUCUACUAAAUGUCGGGUGAAAGUUUGGCAAACCUCCCUUAAGCCACACUCCAUCACGUUUUGCUUGUAGCGUUAGCUGCUAGCGUUAGCUUACCGGGCUUCUGUUUGAUUGGCUUCCUGAUGAUCACGUGACUCCCUACGUAAGUACAUUGACUGCUUUCUUAAAGGGGAAUGAACAUAGACGAACAACACAGAGUCAAAGCGGGAUGAAAAGACUAUUUUCUUGUUUUAUUAAUUUACCGACAUAGUCAAAAUUACGUCGGUCAUCGUGAAGAAUUUCGGUGACGGUAAAUUUUCAGUUUACCGCCCAGCUCUACCCAUACGUCCAUAUUUUGUAUAUUAAUCAGAUUUUGUUGCACUGCAUACUUCAAAUUUCUCACCCCAAAUGAUUGUCAGUACUUACAGUAGAUAGCGCCAAACCUUUUUAUAAAAGAGGAAAGAAAGAAGUUAAGGAAGAACUUUUAUUUGUUUAAGCUUGUAAUCAAGUAUCAAAACUCACAAAAGUCAAAUAAAGCAAACUGUAGUAAACAAAAUAAAUAUAAAUUAAACAAUUGCCAGAUUGGGGACCCCCUAGUGGUCAGGGGCCCUAAGCAGCUGCAUAGUCUGCGUAUAAGCUGGGCCGGCCCUGCUAAUGGCUCUGAAACAUGAUUGCCUUAAUGAAUAGUG